rnacentral:lncRNA from 1 species
AUGAAAUUAUAUUUUUUGAAGUUGUGUGUUGACACCUUGAUUAAUGUGAUAUAUUAAUUUAUGACUACUGCCAUAACAGAGGUAAGAAACUAUUAUUAGUACUAUGUAUAUCAAUUUGCUUUACGAAGUUUACCUUAAGGAGUUAUUAUACAUAAUACUGAAUAUCUUUUAGCUGUUGAAAGUAAUUGAUAUAACAUGAGACUAAACAAGUAACAUAACAUGAUUGAUAUGCUUUUCUCCAGAUCUCUCGGCAUAAGUGUGACGCCCCAAAAAUAGGUAUACAUCACCUAUUUUGAGUCGCCAAAUACAUGGUACAGAAUACAAAUAAAAACUUAAUUAUACAACUGUCGUGUAAAAUACGACAAAACAUAUGCUGUGAGUUUUAAUACAAAUAUUGUCAUCUAGACAAUAUCCACACUCAACUGAGUCCUCAUUAAAUUUAUUAUCACACUAUUUAACAGAAUAGUGAGGACUACUAAUGCUAUUAUCUGGACCGUCACUCCGUUCCCCGACUAGUCCCUGCUACGUUUUCAUUUCCUGAAGAAAACAAUGAAAGCAAAAGGGUGAGCUCAACUAGCCCAGUAAGAAAAUAUUAUGACUAAGAUAAUGCAGAAUAAUCGUUAGCCUUUUACAGUGUUAAACUGAUACAAUAUAACAAACAUCAAGUUUAACUGCAGCGGAACAAACAAUCC